AGCUUGGCAAGUGUCCUCAUCAUCGGUACUGCUGACUCUGUCCUCCUGAAGAAUAUCUUGCAGGUGAAGAAAUUCGGCAGCGCUCAGUGGCUCAUCUGCCUGAUCGUCGGUGUCAUCAUCCAGAGCAGAGGACGGCCCAGGCUGGAAUCCCAGAACUUUGAAAAGCCAGUUUUCUUCAUCCUCGAAUUCUGGCAAGUCCAUUGCACUGCAUUCUGCUUCAGAGGUCUUGGGGCUUUGCUUUUCAGACAUAGCUCCGGGAUUCGGCUUCUCUGUAGUAUCCUAAAUGCCCAUCUUCCAUGGAGGUCUUAGAAAACAUUGACCUCUACAUUUUCCUUCAGCUAGGGUAA
rnacentral:sRNA from 1 species